GACGAACGCUGGCGGCGUGCUUAACACAUGCAAGUCGAACGAAAAGAGGGAAAGAGCUUGCUCUUUCCGGAAUUGAGUGGCAAACGGGUGAGUAACACGUAAACAACCUGCCUUCAGGAUGGGGACAACAGACGGAAACGACUGCUAAUACCGAAUAAGUUCCAAGGGCCGCAUGGCCCAUGGAAGAAAAGGUGGCCUCUACCUGUAAGCUAUCGCCUGAAGAGGGGUUUGCGUCUGAUUAGCUGGUUGGAGGGGUAACGGCCCACCAAGGCGACGAUCAGUAGCCGGUCUGAGAGGAUGAACGGCCACACUGGAAUUGAGACACGGUCCAGACUCCUACGGGAGGCAGCAGUGGGGAAUCUUCCGCAAUGGGCGAAAGCCUGACGGAGCAACGCCGCGUGAGUGAUGACGGCCUUCGGGUUGUAAAACUCUGUGAUCCGGGACGAAAAGGCAGAGUGCGAAGAACAAACUGCAUUGACGGUACCGGAAAAGCAAGCCACGGCUAACUACGUGC
rnacentral:rRNA from 1 species